rnacentral:sRNA from 1 species
UGAAUUUACAACUUUUGUACACAGUUCA